rnacentral:rRNA from 1 species
AUUGAACGCUGGCGGCAUGCCUUACACAUGCAAGUCGAACGGUAACAGGUCUUCGGAUGCUGACGAGUGGCGAACGGGUGAGUGAUACAUCGGAACGUGCCUAGUAGUGGGGGAUAACUACUCGAAAGAGUGGCUAAUACCGCAUGAGAUCUACGGAUGAAAGCAGGGGAUCGCAAGACCUUGUGCUACUAGAGCGGCCGAUGGCAGAUUAGGUAGUUGGUGGGAUAAAAGCUUACCAAGCCGACGAUCUGUAGCUGGUCUGAGAGGACGAUCAGCCACACUGGGACUGAGACACGGCCCAGACUCCUACGGGAGGCAGCAGUGGUGAAUUUUGGACAAUGGGCGCAAGCCUGAUCCAGCAAUGCCGCGUGCAGGAUGAAGGCCUUCGGGUUGUAAACUGCUUUUGUACGGAACGAAAAGCCCUGGGUUAAUACCCUGGGGUCAUGACGGUACCGUAAGAAUAAGCACCGGCUAACUACGUGCCAGCCGCCGCGGUAACAC